AUGCAACUGGCAUGAUCGGGCAAUGCUAUUUGAGCAGUACCACUGGAAGAAAGCACUGAAGAAGAGGCAACCAUAUAAGUUCAAGUGGAACCAGUACAUGAACAAGGAUCUUCGGGAUUCAUACUAUUUCAACUGGCCAGUGUACUUUCCUUAGAACAUGUCCUAUAUGUGCCUAGGUGUGGUAGCUUUAUUAAUGCAGAUUCUGUUCUUUUCCUUUUUUUUCCAGUACAUAUGUUCAAAGGAGUGAAUCAUCCUAAAAAGGGAUUGUUUACCUUAUUCUGUGGUUUUAGAUCUUUAAAGCAGCAGGUUCUGUUGUAGGCUUGUAGCUAGUCUCCUUGUGUUGUGAUGCCUUUGGACGAAAUAAUUUUGUUGCCUCCAAUCAGCUGUCCUGUUGAAUGAAGUUUUUAGUAUGCCCUCCGGGCACUUAAGAGUA